rfam:Gossypium hirsutum cultivar TM-1 chromosome 15, whole genome shotgun sequence
UGUUAAAAAAAUUCAUCUAUUUUUACUAUUAAAAAUUAGUGUGACUGAUAGAAUAACCAAAUAGUUACAUACGGCAUACCAUGUAUGCCUCAUGCUAAUGUACAUGGACUAGUUUAUAGCAGUAAAAAUCGAAGAAAUUUUUAACA